AUGCUCAAAAUAGAUCUUGCCAAAGCUUUUGAUAGACUCGAGUGGAAUUUCAUUAUUGCUGCUCUUGCACGUAAGGGGCUGCACGGUCAUUUUAUUAAUUUAAUCCACUCAUGUGUUUCUUCAAAGACUUUUUCUAUUGUCGUUAAUGGUCAACCGUUUGCGAGAUUCAGAGGAGACAGAGGUGUUCGACAAGGUUGUCCUCUGUCCCCAUACCUUUUUGUCCUAGCAAUCAAUGAACUUUCAAUUGCUCUACAAGAGGCCAUGGCAGCUAACUGUUUUGAAGGUAUAACUCUAGGACCAAAUUGCCCUGCUAUCCACUCUCUCCUUUUUGCAGAUGAUCUACUUGUUUGUGGAAGGGCUACAGUACAAGAAGCAACUAGAAUGAAGCAGAUCUUGCAUGAUUUCUGCAUACGCUCGGGCCAGACUCCAAAUUGGAGUAAAUCUGGGAUAAUCUUCAGUAAACAUGUUCAUCCUAGAGAAUGUCAAUUAAUCAAUCAGAUUUUCCCAGUGCCAACCAUUGACAACAACUUCAUUCAUCUUGGGUAUCCUCUCAUCCUCCCGGGUAAGGAUAGAACAAUAGCCUACAACUUCAAAUCCAAGCUCACAACGUACAAGGCCGAUAAACUUUCUCAUGCUGCAAGAGCUCAUCAAAUCUGUUUUCUCCUCCAUUCCAGUUUACUAUAUGUCCAACAUACUUUUAACAAACAAGUUUAUUGCCAAGCUCACUACUGUUAUUAG
rnacentral:rRNA from 1 species